AGUAACGCGUGAGUAACCUGCCUCUAAGAGGGGAAUAACAUUCUGAAAAGAAUGCUAAUACCGCAUAACAUAUAUUUAUCGCAUGGUAGAUAUAUCAAAGAUUUAUCGCUUAGAGAUGGACUCGCGUCCGGUUAGUUAGUUGGUGAGGUAACGGCUCACCAAGACUGCGAUCGGUAGCCGGACUGAGAGGUUGAACGGCCACAUUGGGACUGAGACACGGCCCAG
rnacentral:rRNA from 1 species